AGAGUUUGAUCCUGGCUCAGGAUGAACGCUGGCGGCGUGCCUAAUACAUGCAAGUCGAGCGAACGGACGAGAAGCUUGCUUCUCUGAUGUUAGCGGCGGACGGGUGAGUAACACGUGGAUAACCUACCUAUAAGACUGGGAUAACUUCGGGAAACCGGAGCUAAUACCGGAUAAUAUUUUGAACCGCAUGGUUCAAAAGUGAAAGACGGUCUUGCUGUCACUUAUAGAUGGAUCCGCGCUGCAUUAGCUAGUUGGUAAGGUAACGGCUUACCAAGGCAACGAUGCAUAGCCGACCUGAGAGGGUGAUCGGCCACACUGGAACUGAGACACGGUCCAGACUCCUACGGGAGGCAGCAGUAGGGAAUCUUCCGCAAUGGGCGAAAGCCUGACGGAGCAACGCCGCGUGAGUGAUGAAGGUCUUUGGAUCGUAAAACUCUGUUAUUAGGGAAGAACAUAUGUGUAAGUAACUGUGCACAUCUUGACGGUACCUAAUCAGAAAGCCACGGCUAACUACGUGCCAGCAGCCGCGGUAAUACGUAGGUGGCAAGCGUUAUCCGGAAUUAUUGGGCGUAAAGCGCGCGUAGGCGGUUUUUUAAGUCUGAUGUGAAAGCCCACGGCUCAACCGUGGAGGGUCAUUGGAAACUGGAAAACUUGAGUGCAGAAGAGGAAAGUGGAAUUCCAUGUGUAGCGGUGAAAUGCGCAGAGAUAUGGAGGAACACCAGUGGCGAAGGCGACUUUCUGGUCUGUAACUGACGCUGAUGUGCGAAAGCGUGGGGAUCAAACAGGAUUAGAUACCCUGGUAGUCCACGCCGUAAACGAUGAGUGCUAAGUGUUAGGGGGUUUCCGCCCCUUAGUGCUGCAGCUAACGCAUUAAGCACUCCGCCUGGGGAGUACGACCGCAAGGUUGAAACUCAAAGGAAUUGACGGGGACCCGCACAAGCGGUGGAGCAUGUGGUUUAAUUCGAAGCAACGCGAAGAACCUUACCAAAUCUUGACAUCCUUUGACAACUCUAGAGAUAGAGCCUUCCUCUUCGGGGGACAAAGUGACAGGUGGUGCAUGGUUGUCGUCAGCUCGUGUCGUGAGAUGUUGGGUUAAGUCCCGCAACGAGCGCAACCCUUAAGCUUAGUUGCCAUCAUUAAGUUGGGCACUCUAAGUUGACUGCCGGUGACAAACCGGAGGAAGGUGGGGAUGACGUCAAAUCAUCAUGCCCCUUAUGAUUUGGGCUACACACGUGCUACAAUGGACAAUACAAAGGGCAGCGAAACCGCGAGGUCAAGCAAAUCCCAUAAAGUUGUUCUCAGUUCGGAUUGUAGUCUGCAACUCGACUACAUGAAGCUGGAAUCGCUAGUAAUCGUAGAUCAGCAUGCUACGGUGAAUACGUUCCCGGGUCUUGUACACACCGCCCGUCACACCACGAGAGUUUGUAACACCCGAAGCCGGUGGAGUAACCUUUUAGGAGCUAGCCGUCGAAGGUGGGACAAAUGAUUGGGGUGAAGUCGUAACAAGGUAGCCGUAUCGGAAGGUGCGGCUGGAUCACCU
rnacentral:rRNA from 1 species